GACGAACGCUGGCGGCGUGCUUAACACAUGCAAGUCGAACGGAAAGGCCCUGCUUUUGUGGGGUGCUCGAGUGGCGAACGGGUGAGUAACACGUGAGUAACCUGCCCUUGACUUUGGGAUAACUUCAGGAAACUGGGGCUAAUACCGGAUAGGAGCUCCUGCUGCAUGGUGGGGGUUGGAAAGUUUCGGCGGUUGGGGAUGGACUCGCGGCUUAUCAGCUUGUUGGUGGGGUAGUGGCUUACCAAGGCUUUGACGGGUAGCCGGCCUGAGAGGGUGACCGGCCACAUUGGGAGUGAGAUACGGCCCAGACUCCUACGGGAGGCAGAAGUGGGGAAUAUUGCACAAUGGGCGGAAGCCUGAUGCAGCAACGCCGCGUGCGGGAUGACGGCCUUCGGGUUGUAAACCGCUUUCGCCUGUGACGAAGCGUGAGUGACGGUAAUGGGUAAAGAAGCACCGGCUAACUACGUG
rnacentral:rRNA from 1 species